GCAUAUCAAUAAGCGGAGGAAAAGAAACUAACAAGGAUUCCCCUAGUAACGGCGAGUGAAGAGGGAAGAGCCCAAGUUUGAAAGCUGGCAUUUGUAUUCAGAUGUCCGCAUUGUAAACUCAAGAAGUGUUUUCUGCACCGGAUCAAAUUCAAGUCCCUUGGAAUAGGGCAUCAUAGAGGGUGAAAGUCCCGUGCUUGAUUUGAAACCCCCGGGGCUUUGUGAUACACUUUCCAAGAGUCGAGUUGUUUGGGAAUGCAGCUCAAAAUGGGUGGUAAAUGCCAUCUAAGGCUAAAUAUUGAGGAGAGACCGAUAGUGAACAAGUACCGUGAGGGAAAGAUGAAAAGAACUUUGGAAAGAGAGUUAAACAGUACGUGAAAUUGCCGGAAGGGAAGGGUAGGAAGUCAGACAUGCCUUUGCAGAUUCAGCCUUGUGCUUUAUUGGACUUGGUGCAUUUUUGUAUUGGCUUGCUAGCAUCGGUUUGUAUUGACAGAUAUAGGCUUAGGGAAUGUGGCUUAGCUUUCGGGCAAAGUGUUAUAGCCCUUUGCUGAGUAUGACAAUAUAGACCGAGGAUUGCAGCGCACCCAUUUUAGGGCGGGCCUUUCGGGGCACCUUUGCGCUUAGGAUGCUGGCUUAAUGG
rnacentral:rRNA from 1 species